rnacentral:SRP_RNA from 1 species
GCCAGGUGUGGUGGUAUACACUUCAAUCCCUACUACUUGGAGACUGAAGAUGGUGUAUAGCUUGUUCUCAGGAACUGUGAGCUGCAGUAGGGUAAAAGCUGAUUGGGUUUCUACACUGUUUGGCACCAAUAUGGUGAGUUCCUGGGAGUGGGGGUAGGUGCACCAGGCUGCCGAAGGACAAAUGAAUUGACCCAGGUAAAAAAUGGAGCAGGUUUGUUCUAAUCGGCAGUGGGUUUGAGUCUGUGAGUGACUGCUGUACUCCCAGCCUAAGUGAAACAGAGAGAUCCAAUCUUAA